rnacentral:tRNA from 1 species
GCCGACGUAGCUCAACCCGGCAGAGCAGCCGCCUUGUAAGCGGCAGGUUACGGGUUCAAGUCCCGUCGUCGGCU